ACGAGCGGCGAGAGGGGUGAGUAGUGUCUGGGACUGUGCCUGAUGGAGGGAGAUAUCUACUGGAAACUGUCUCUAAUACCGCAUAAUCUCCACAGACCAAUGUGGGAGACCUUCGGGCCUCGCGCCCUCAUAUGUGCCCAUAUGGUAUUAUCUAAUAUGUGGGGUAGUGGCUCACCUACGCCACUAUCCCUAUCUGGUCUGAGAAGAUGACCCCCCACACUGGAUCUGACACACGGUCCACACUCCUACGGGAGGCCGCUGUGGGGAAUAUUGCACUGUGGGCGCACCCCUGAUGCCCCCGUGCCGCGUGUGUGAAAAACGCCUUCGUUUUGUAACACUUUUUCCGCGAAGAAGAGGGGUUGUGUGUUAAUAACACUUUUCUUUGACUUUACUCACAAAAAACACCCCCUCUAUCUCCGUGCCCACCCCCGCUGUUAUACAGAGGGUGCACGCUUUUCUCAAAUUUACUGCGCGUAACGCACACACGCGCUUUUUUUUAUCUCAUAUGUGAUCUCCCCGCUCUU
rnacentral:rRNA from 1 species